rnacentral:rRNA from 1 species
GUUAUAUGGUCAAGUGAAGAAGCGCAUACGGUGGAUGCCUUGGCAGUCAGAGGCGAUGAAAGACGUGGUAGCCUGCGAAAAGCUUCGGGGAGUCGGCAAACAGACUUUGAUCCGGAGAUGUCUGAAUGGGGGAACCCAGCCAUCAUAAGAUGGUUAUCUUGUACUGAAUACAUAGGUGCAAGAGGCGAACCAGGGGAACUGAAACAUCUAAGUACCCUGAGGAAAAGAAAUCAACCGAGAUUCCCUUAGUAGUGGCGAGCGAACGGGGACUAGCCCUUAAGUGGCUUUGAGAUUAGCGGAACGCUCUGGAAAGUGCGGCCAUAGUGGGUGAUAGCCCUGUACGCGGAAGUCUCUUAGUCAUGAAAUCGAGUAGGACGGAGCACGAGAAACUUUGUCUGAAUAUGGGGGGACCAUCCUCCAAGGCUAAAUACUACUGACUGACCGAUAGUGAACUAGUACCGUGAGGGAAAGGCGAAAAGAACCCCGGAGAGGGGAGUGAAAUAGAUCCUGAAACCGUAUGCGUACAAGCAGUGGGAGCAGACUUUGUUCUGUGACUGCGUACCUUUUGUAUAAUGGGUCAGCGACUUAUAUUCAGUGGCGAGCUUAACCGAAUAGGGGAGGCGUAGCGAAAGCGAGUCUUAAUAGGGCGUUUAGUCGCUGGGUAUAGACCCGAAACCGGGCGAUCUAUCC